rnacentral:rRNA from 1 species
UACGGAGGGAGCUAGCGUUGUUCGGAAUUACUGGGCGUAAAGCGCACGUAGGCGGCUUUGUAAGUUAGAGGUGAAAGCCUGGAGCUCAACUCCAGAAUUGCCUUUAAGACUGCAUCGCUUGAAUCCGGGAGAGGUGAGUGGAAUUCCGAGUGUAGAGGUGAAAUUCGUAGAUAUUCGGAAGAACACCAGUGGCGAAGGCGGCUCACUGGCCCGGUACUGACACUGAGAUGCGAAAGCGUGGGGAGCAAACAGG